AGAGGUACAGUAGCUGGACUGUAACACUGUAUUUGAUCUUGAAGCAAAAGGGUUUUUAUUUUUAAUUUAGUUAUUAUAUUAAAACUCUUUUCUUUUCAGGUUUACCAGAUGGCUGGGAGAAAAUUGAAUCUCCAAACUUUGGGGUUUACUAUGUCAAUCACAACUUAAAGGUAACGCAAUAUGAACAUCCAGCCAAAACACAGUUCAUCCAGCAACACCAUCAGCAGGAAAUAAGAACAUCUGAUAAUGGGCGUCAAGAGUCCCAGGCCAUCCCUGCACAGAACCCUUUAGUACCAGCAAAUCCAUACAUUAGUGAAGAAAUACCAGAAUGGCUCCAAGUUUAUGCCAAAGCUAGUCCAGAAUAUGACUGUUUCUUGAAGUGGGACUUAUUCCGUUACGCCGAGCUCGACUGUUGGCAGGCAAUGCUGAAGCGUUUGUACAAGAAAGAAGUGGAGCAGGUUGUGAUGCGACAUGAGGAGUACAGGCAAGCGCUGCAGAGGGAAUUUGAGCAGAAGCAAAAACUUCAAGAGGAGGAGCGAAGAUUGAGCGACCAAGCUCUGGCAGAUCUAGAUGAGUUAGAUAAAGAACUUGCCAAAUACUAAGUCAUCUACGGAGGAGUAAAAUGCAGACGAAAGCGGUGAAACCACCGCCCCGGAAGAGCUAGAUGUUUUAUUUAAUUUUCUGUAUUCUGAACUUUCUAAUUGGUUAGAAUAGUCUAGCCGAUCAGAGCAAACAUACUGGUUCCCGCGCUUGGCAUCGGUCACAUGUUUUCCCGCGCUUAGCGCUGGUUGCACGUUUUUGCUUCAAGUUCUAGUGAUGGUAACUGGUUUUGGUUAUUCAAACCCAAGCAAAACACACACUCAAAAAUACAAAAUUGCAUUUCAAAAUUAAAGUAACGGAAAGUAUUUCUCUACACGCAUUAUUACAGACGUCGGAACAAUUCAUGCCAUCAUUUCGCGGUCAGUUGUGCAGCAAUUCCAAGAUGAAUACUGUGUGUUCACUCCUAGUGAGUGAAUAUGAAAUGAAGGACAAAAUCCAUUACCAUCAAA